rnacentral:rRNA from 1 species
GACAGAGGGUGCAAACGUUGUUCGGAAUUACUGGGCGUAAAGCGUGUGUAGGCGGCCACUUAAGUCGGAUGUGAAAGCCCUUGGCUCAACUGAGGAAGUGCACCCGAAACUGAAUGGCUUGAGUACUAAAGAGGGUCGCGGAAUUCCCGGUGUAGAGGUGAAAUGCGUAGAGAUCGGGAGGAACAUCUGUGGCGAAGGCGGCCAUCUGGACCAGCACUGACACUGAGGCACGAAAGCGUGGGGAGCAAACAGG